UCAGAGUCUCCCUUAUCCCUAAUCUGCAUGCUAGUAGAGAAGGCGACCACCAAACCCUCCAUCUCGCUUCUACCCAACCGUGUUGCUGCCCAAACUCUACUGCAUUGUCGCCUGAGCACGCUGCGAGAAGUCCGGCCGGCUGCAAGGAUAACGAUAGCGGAACCCUCUCCCUCCUUCUCCUUUCCCCUCCUCCAUGGUGACUCAGCAGUGGCAGAUCUGGUGCGGUCGGUCAUUCAUGGUGUUGUGCUU
rnacentral:lncRNA from 1 species